rnacentral:rRNA from 1 species
GUCUACAGCCAUACUAUCCUCAAUGCACCCAAUCUCACCUGACCUCAGAAACUAAGCAGGGUUGAGCCUUGUUAAUAUUUGAAUGGGAGAAGUCACUUCUUAACAUCAAGUUUGAAAUGACU